CCUACGGGAGGCUGCAGUGGGGAAUAUUGGACAAUGGGCGAAAGCCUGAUCCAGCCAUGCCGCGUGUGUGAAGAAGGCCUUCGGGUUGUAAAGCACUUUCAGUGGGGAAGAAAGCCUUGGGGCUAAUACCCUCGAGGAAGGACAUCACCCACAGAAGAAGCACCGGCUAACUCCGUGCCAGCAGCCGCGGUAAUACGGAGGGUGCGAGCGUUAAUCGGAAUUACUGGGCGUAAAGCGCGCGUAGGCGGUCUGUAAGCCGGUUGUGAAAGCCCCGGGCUCAACCUGGGAACGGCAUCCGGAACUGUCAGGCUAGAGUGCAGGAGAGGAAGGUAGAAUUCCCGGUGUAGCGGUGAAAUGCGUAGAGAUCGGGAGGAAUACCAGUGGCGAAGGCGGCCUUCUGGACUGACACUGACGCUGAGGUGCGAAAGCGUGGGUAGCAAACAGGAUUAGAUACCCGAGUAGUC
rnacentral:rRNA from 1 species